rnacentral:rRNA from 1 species
GACGAACGCUGGCGGCGUGCUUAACACAUGCCAGUCGAACGGAAAGGCCCUGCUUUUGUGGGGUGCUCGAGUGGCGAACGGGGGAGUAACACGUGAGUAACCUGCCCUUAACUUUGGGGUAAAUUCACGAAACUGGGGCUAAUACCGGAUAGGAGAUCCUGCUGCAUGUUGUGGGUUGGAAAGAUUCGGCGGUUGGGGAUGGACUCGCGGCUUCUGAGCUUGUUGGUGGGGUAGUGGAUUACCAAGGUUUUGACGGGUAGCCGGCAUGAGAGGGUGACCGGCCACAUGGGGACUGAGAUAGGGACCAGACGCCUACGGGAGGCAGCAGUGGGAAAUAUUGCACAAUGGGCGGAAGCCUGAGGCAGCAACGCCGCGUGCGGGAUGACGGCCUUCGGGGUGUAAACCGCUUUCGCCUGUGACGAAGCGUGAGUGACGGUAAUGGGUAAAGAAGCACCGGCUAACUACGUG